rnacentral:rRNA from 1 species
UGGGGAAUAUUGGACAAUGGGCGAAAGCCUGAUCCAGCCAUGCCGCGCGUGUGAAGAAGGUCUUCGGAUUGUAAAGCACUUUAAGUUGGGAGGAAGGGCAUUAACCUAAUACGUUAGUGUUUUGACGUUACCGACAGAAUAAGCACCGGCUAACUCUGUGCCAGCAGCCGCGGCAAUACAGAGGGUGCAAGCGUUAAUCGGAAUUACUGGGCGUAAAGCGCGCGUAGGUGGUUUGUUAAGUUGGAUGUGAAAUCCCCGGGCGCAACCUGAGAACUGCAUUCAAAACUGACUGACUAGAGUAUGGUAGAGGGUGGUGGAAUUUCCUGUGUAGCGGUGAAAUGCGUAGAUAUAGGAAGGAACACCAGUGGCGAAGGCGACCACCUGGACUAAUACUGACACUGAGGUGCGAACGCGUGGGGAGCAAACA